rnacentral:lncRNA from 14 species
GUAGUUCUGCUGCUUCAAUCACAGUAAUGCUGGAGCUCUUCAGAAAGCAUAACAUCAUGGGACCUGCAUUUUAUCUUUUGUGGCUCUUCCUUCUUCCAUGUCCCUGAGAUGAUGAACCAGGACAAGGAUGUGAUUAGUGUUUUCUGCCAUGGGAUGUCAGCUGAGGGGUAAGAAUUGUGUGCCAACAGGAAGAAAGAGCCACCACAGAUGGGUGAAGAGCGUCCUUUCAAGCAUGAAGCACAGCAAGUCCAAAACAGAUCCCCAUUCUCCUUGGGGACCAACCUGCAGGGUCAAUGAGAGAAACAGAACAAGUCCUCAGGACUCUCAAGAGCUAAACUGCAAAACCACGGGCUUCAGCAAAACCCUUCAAGCCAGCCCAUCUCCCAGCAGAGCCUCUGUCCCUUUCUCUCAACUCAGGGCUGGAAACAAUGACAGGAUAUUCUCUGCAGCCUGCCUGACAUCCAACAGUGGCAAAGAACCAAAGCACGAUCCAGGCAUUGCCUGCUGCUGGGCUUAUUUCACAGGCACUCAGGAACAGUAA